rnacentral:rRNA from 1 species
UACGUAGGGUGCGAGCGUUGUCCGGAAUUAUUGGGCGUAAAGAGCUUGUAGGCGGUCUGUCGCGUCUGCUGUGAAAAUCCGGGGCUCAACCCCGGACUUGCAGUGGGUACGGGCAGACUAGAGUGUGGUAGGGGAGACUGGAAUUCCUGGUGUAGCGGUGAAAUGCGUAGAUAUCGGGAGGAACACCUGAGGCGAAGGCGGGCUACUGGGCCGAUACUGACGCUGAGGCGCGAAAGCCAGGGGAGCAAACGGG